CAUUGCGCUACUGACCAGGAAAUACCUGGUUUAAAGUCAGUGGCGCGUUGUUCAGAUGCUAUUUUAAGGGCGCAAGCAUACAUGCGCAUGCGAUGCAUACGGAUUGCUUGUACACUUUGCUUCUCUCAUCUACCUAGCCGCACAUUCUUGGUAAAUUAUUUGGGAAAGAACAGCUGAUGCAGCGGUAAUAAGUUGUAGGCUACUUUUUAAUCAAUGCAUCUGCAAACACCGUACAGCAAACACAUAUUUUCUUGACACAGACAUCGUGUAGGCCUACAUGCCCAUAACUUUUAGGAUUGAUGAGUAGGCCUAUUUGAUCGUGAAAAACAUUGUUUUACCGCGAGUGAGUGUUAAAAAGAAUUAAUGAAUGCGGGCGCGCGUGUGUGCUCUGUUUAAACACACGCAAACUAAACACUCUCCAUCAUCUCAUCUUCGUCCGCUUAUCGGGGGUCGGGUCGCGGGGGGAGCAGCUCAAGCAGGGGGCCCCAGACUUCCCUUUCCCGGGCCACAUUGACCAGCUCUGACGGGGGGAUCCCGAGGCGUUCCCAAGCCAGUGUUGAGAUAUAAUCUCUCCACCUAGUCCUGGGUCUUCCCCGAGGUCUCCUCCCCACUGGACGUGCCUGAAACACCUCCCAAGGAAGGCGCCCAGUGGGCAUCGUUACCAGAUGCCCGAACCACCUCAGCUGACUCCUUUCUAAGUAAAGGAGCAGCGGCUCUAAUCCGAGUUCCUCACGGAUGGCUGAGCUUCUCACCCUAUCCCUAAGGGAGACGCCAGCCACCCUUCUGAGAAAACUCAUCUCGGCCGCUUGUACCCGCGAUCUCGUCCUUUCGGUCAUCACCCAACCCUCAUGACCAUAGGUGAGGAUAGGAACGAAGAUAGACCGGUAGAUCGAGAGCUUUGCCUUGCGGCUCAGCUCUCUUUUCGUAACAACGGUGCGGUAAAGCGAACGCAAUACGCCCCCGCUGCUCCGAUUCUCCGGCCAAUCUCACGCUCCAUAGUUCCCUCACUUGCGAACAAGACCCCGAGGUACUUGAACUCCUUCACUUGGGCAAACUAAACACGUAACGCAUAAUACAAUCAAUGGCAAUGUCUAUUACCGCGGGGACACAUGCAUAUUAGGAUAGCAUACAAUACUAAGAAACAAUGUUUAUAAUGUAUUGCGUAUAUCAUUAAAUAGAACCACAGUUACCGCAUAUCAUAUGUUAUAGCCUAUCAUACGUUUUCUUUGCCGAAAUUUAUUUGAGGACUCAGUAUUUCUGAAGUUGUGGAAGAAAACCCCUUAUUCCAUGUGUGAAUUAGGCCACAUUAUUUGGCAAU
ensembl:lncRNA